rnacentral:rRNA from 1 species
UACGGGGGGGGCAAGCGUUGUUCGGCAUUACUGGGCGUAAAGGGCUCGUAGGCGGCCAACUAAGUCCGACGUGAAAUCCCCAGGCUUAACCUGGGAACUGCGUCGGAUACUGGAUGGCUUGAAUUCGGGAGAGGGAUGCAGAAUUCCAGGUGUAGCGGUGAAAUGCGUAGAUAUCUGGAGGAAUACCGGUGGCGAAGGCGGCAUCCUGGACCGGCAUUGACGCUGAGGAGCGAAAGCCAGGGGAGCAAACGGG